rnacentral:rRNA from 1 species
GACGAACGUUGGCGGCGUGCCUAAUACAUGCAAGUCAACUGAAAUACCGGUAGCAAUACUGGUAUGGAGGUGGCGCACGGGUGAGUAACACGUAGGUAAUCUGCCUUCAGGUCUGACAUAACCCAUCGAAAGGUGAGCUAAUAUCAGAUGAUGCAGCGGCUUGACAUCAAGACAGUUGUUAAAGCUUCGGCGCCUGAAGAUGAGCCUGCGCUGAUUAGCUAGUUGGCGGGGUAAC